GAUAGCUCAGUCGGUAGAGCAGGGGAUUGAAAAUCCCCGUGUCCUUGGUUCGAUUCCGAGUUU
rnacentral:tRNA from 1 species